AUUAAGUCAUAUUUGUUAAUAGAAUCCAUUCAUCCAAGCAUCCAUCCAUCUUGCCAUCCAUCCAUUCCUUUUCCACAUCUUCUACAUUCCAGAGUAUACAAUGAAUGAUAAGUAAGUCAGAAAGUUGACUGCCACAUGGAACUUUCAUUCUAGUUAGAGAUACAACCAACAAACAAUAUGUGAUAAAUGCACAGAAGAAAUGAACAAUUCAAUAAAGAGAACAGGGAUACUUAUGUUAGGCUGGUUAAGAAAACCUGCUCUGAAAGGGUUCAGUGGUGGAGUGCUUGCCUAGCAUUGAAAAGUUUCUGGGUUCAAUCCCCAGCACAGAAAAAAUACCCCUCCACCCCCACCACCAAAAACCAAAAGCAAGCAAACAACCCCUUCUCCCAAACUAUUCUAAGGAGUUAAAAUUUAGGGAUAAGAUGGAGAUUGCCAUAUCACCAGUUAUGUCAAGAUUGUUCCAGACAGGGGGCUGGGGCAGAUCAGUGGUAGAGUGCUUGCCUAGCAUGUGCGAGGCACUGAGUUCAAUCCUUA
rnacentral:lncRNA from 1 species